CACUUGUCUUUUAAAUGAAGACCCGUAUGAAAGGCAUCACGAGAGUUCAACUGUCUCUAUUUUCUAAUCAAUGAAAUUGAUCUACUCGUGCAGAAGCGAGUAUAACUACAUUAGACGAGAAGACCCUAUGGAGCUUCAAACACAUGAAUUAAAUAUGUAAACUAACUACUCCCCGGACAUAAAUAAAAUAAUAUUUUUAAUUUAACUGUUUUUGGUUGGGGUGACCAAGGGGAAAAAUAAAUCCCCCUUAUCGAUUGAGUACUCAAGUACUUAAAAAUCAGAAUUACAAUUCUGAUUAAUAAAAUAUUUAUCGAAAAAUGACCCAGGAUUUCCUGAUCAAUGAACCAAGUUACCCUAGGGAUAACAGCGCAAUCCUUUCUUAGAGUCCCUAUCGCCAAAGGGUUUACGACCU
rnacentral:rRNA from 1 species